rnacentral:misc_RNA from 1 species
AAGACUAUAGACCUGCGGAGUACCUGCGGAAGGAUCAUUAACGAUUGGAUUGUUGACCCUCAUCCACCUUGUGUGCAAACUCGAGAAAAAGCCUACUUUGGAGAGAUCAUUCUUCCGAUCUCUCCAAAGAGGUCAUCCCGAUCAAUCAUUUUUUUUCUCUUCUAUAAUCUAACAAAAAUGUAAAUUUAAAUAAAAAACAACUUUUAACAAUGGAUCUCU